AAAAAGCAUACCACAUGAGUAUAGAAUGGUCUUAGGCCAUGUAAGAUUAAAGAUUAUUUAGAGUCGAUUUAGGCCGUAGCACAUAUUUACAUAUAAAAAUGCAUACAGAAUGACAGAAGCUAUCUGAAAUGGAAAUUUGUUACUGUUUGUUUAUUUCUAUGCUAAGAUGUUAUGAUACAAGAAGUCUAACUGAAAAAUACUCAAGAUUGCAUUCAACUUUUUUUGCAGACAGCAUGGUCUGAUGCACAGUUUUUUCACUUUUCAAGGAAAACUUGCAUGCUGUUUUAGUCUCAAUUGGCAUAUAUUUGAACCACUAACUAUCCUAAAGAAGACAUUGAAGGUGGCAUAUGAAAUGAAUAAGGUGUACUGAUCAUUGUAAAGUGCUUUUUUUUUUUAUAGAUUUAGUAAAAUAUUUAUGAUUGACUACAGAUGGACACAUACAUGAAACAGGUUGUUUAACCAGGGCCAUGAAAUACAAC
rnacentral:lncRNA from 1 species